AGCUGCCUACUUAAAAACACUUCCUUCUGGGCAGAACUCCUUUCUACCCAGAUAUUAUCAGCCCUGGUCUGCAACUGCAACUGUGCAGACCCCAUCCUUCCUAGAGAAUCCUGCCAGACUCAGCAGCAUGUCUGCCAGGACCCUCCCUACUCUUGCCAGAAUCUACCUCCUGGGUGUACUCCUCUCCAUUCUCCCAGGUUCCGAAGCCCAGAUGCUAGUGGAGAAAGGAGGAAAAGUGACACAUGAAGGCCAGUCCGUGACCCUGAUCUGCCAGUCUGUGACCUCUAGCUUUAACUUCAGGGAAUAUGCCAUAUCCUGGCACUGGAGCCCAACUGAGAGCCACAGGGAGCUGGUGGCCAGCAUCAGCCCAAAAACUGGCAGUGACAAAACAUACAGCUCCAGGAUUCAAGGCAGGGCUUUCAUCUCCAGGAACAAUAUGGAGAAAACUGUCUCUCUGACCUUAAACCGGCUCCAAAAGGAGGACUCAGGCACAUACUACUGUGCCAGACUCACUCUGCUAGAGCCCAGGCAGAGACCUUAACACAAACCUGGGAUUAAAGCCCCAGAUAACUGUGCUGUGUGGUGUUCUGUGAGUAUGUCUGUGGGGAAGGGAAAAAAUAGGCUCUCCAUGUAUGCAUUUUUGAGUGUUCAGAGAAGGGAAGAGAAAGGCUCCAUGUGUGUGUCUGUGUGUUUACAUAUGUACCUGUAUACAGGGAAAGGAAGAAAUAAAUUAUGUGUGU